rnacentral:tRNA from 1 species
ACUAGCGUGGCGUAGUGGUUUGAAUGUUAGACUAUGACUCUGGAGACCAGGGUUUGAUUCCCAGCUUGACCA